UACAACUCAGCCUGGGAAUGACCCUUUCUGGCUUUGGUCCAUUGUGUAUUUUGUUUAUGGAUCAAAUCAGAUAAUUCCCCUGUAAACCAGGGAUUGUCUCUACAUUUUACCCGGUACUUUUUGAGAGGGGCGUGUUUAUCACCGAUAGUAUAAAACAUGGAAUGAAAAUAGGAGAAUGCCGCUUUGAUGUCUGGAUUAAGUGCACUCCUAUGCCAGUUGCAUGCAUAAGGUUCAUGCAGGAAUGUUUGAAUAUGAACCAAGGGGGCACAUUGUAAUUUUUAGUGUCUCUAAUGCAAGCAACUGCACAAUGUGUUAUGGUGAGUGAAUGAGGACCCAAAAGCGAACUAACUUAAACAGAGCUUCUUUAAUAACCAAACAUAGGUAGGCUCAGAUAGACCGGCAGAUUCCGACAGGACAGGACAAGGUUACAGCAAACAUGACGAUAGUCUGGCUCAGGCAUGAAACACAACAAACAAGAAUCCGACAAGGACAGGAACAGAAACAGAGAGAGAUAUAGGGACCUAAUCAGAGGGAAAAAGGAAACACAACAAACAAGAAUCCGACAAGGACAGGAACAGAAACAGAGAGAGAUAUAGGGACCUAAUCAGAGGGAAAAAGGGAACAGGUGGGAAACGGGGUGAAUGGGUAGUUAGAGGAGACAAGGAACAGCUGGGGGAAAGCGGGGGAGAAAAGGUAACCUAACAACGACCAGCAGAGGGAGACAGGGUGAAGGGAAAGGACAGAGACAAGACACAACAUGACAGUACAUGACACAAUGAUCACAUAAAUCAUUAGGGAAAAUACCAACGCCCAAGUAUUUAUGCGGAUUGUUAGUUAGAAUAACAUCAAUAAGUGUUGACUUAGAGAUGUCUUUUGGAUUGAGUCGUGUGACUGUAUUUAUAAUUUGAAUAAAAUGUAGUGUAUUGCACAGUCCUCUUAUGUCCUCAGAGACAUAACCAGUCCCACAUGAGGACCAUUUCCUUUUCCCCACAACCAUGCAUCAGUUCAGCCUGAGAAUCCAUGGAUUCUACUUUGCAAAUGGAGGUCUACAACAUCCUAAAUUCAC
rnacentral:lncRNA from 13 species